GACGAACGCUGGCGGCGUGCUUAACACAUGCAAGUCGAACGGUAAGGCCCUUCGGGGUACACGAGUGGCGAACGGGUGAGUAACACGUGGGUGAUCUGCCCUGCACUUCGGAAUAAGCCUGGGAAACUGGGUCUAAUACCGGAUAGGACCACUGCCUGCAUGGGUGGUGGUGGAAAGCUUUUGCGGUGCGGGAUGGGCCAGCGGCCUAUCAGCUUGUUGGUGGGGUGAUGGCCUACCAAGGCGACGACGGGUAGCCGGCCUGAGAGGGUGCCCGGCCUAACUGGGACUGAGAUACGGCCCAGACUCCUACGGGGGGCAGCAGUGGGGAAUAUUGCACAAUGGGCGCAAGGCUGAUGCAGCGACGCCGCGUGAGGGAUGACGGCCUUCGGGUUGUAAACCUCUUUCAGCACCGACGAAGCGCAAGUGACGGUAGGUGCAGAAGAAGGACCGGCCAACUACGUGCCAGCCGCCGCCGUAA
rnacentral:rRNA from 1 species